GAUGAACGCUGGCGGCGUGCUUAACACAUGCAAGUCGAACGAUGAAGCCCAGCUUGCUGGGUGGAUUAGUGGCGAACGGGUGAGUAACACGUGAGUAACCUGCCCUUGACUCUGGGAUAAGCGCUGGAAACGGCGUCUAAUACCGGAUACGAGCUUCCACCGCAUGGUGAGUUGCUGGAAAGAAUUUCGGUCAAGGAUGGACUCGCGGCCUAUCAGGUAGUCGGUGAGGUAACGGCUCACCAAGCCGACGACGGGUAGCCGGCCUGAGAGGGUGACCGGCCACACUGGGACUGAGACACGGCCCAGACUCCUACGGGAGGCAGCAGUGGGGAAUAUUGCACAAUGGGCGCAAGCCUGAUGCAGCAACGCCGCGUGAGGGACGAAGGCCUUCGGGUCGUAAACCUCUUUUAGCAGGGAAGAAGCGAAAGUGACGGUACCUGCAGAAAAAGCACCGGCUAACUACGUG
rnacentral:rRNA from 1 species